rnacentral:lncRNA from 1 species
UCAAUAGUAGUAUUGGAGAAACUUUUAAUCCAAAAAGGGGACUGAGACAAGGGGAUCCAUUGAGUCCGUUUCUAUUUCUAAUAUGUGGAGAGGGAUUAUCCAAUCUCAUGAGAAUAGCUUCAAAUGAAGAAGUAUUAAAAGGAGUCAAGGCAAGAAGAAGUUGCCCACAAGUAACACACUUAUUAUUUGCAGACGACUACAUUUUAUUCGGGGAAGCGUCAAGAAAAAGAGCCACAGCAAUUAAGGAGAUCCUGAGAGAGUAUAAGCGAUGCUCGGGUCAAUGCGUGAAUUUCGCUAAAUCUACCAUUUUCUUUAGUAAAAACACGUCAGAGGAAGAAAGGAGUUCAGUUGUUCAUUUGCUGGGUUUUCAGAGUUCAGAUGAGCCUGAACGUUAUUUAGGCUUGCCAAAUAUGGUUGGAUGAAAAAAGAAACAAUCUUUUAGGGUUUUGAAAGAUAGAUUGAAGAAGCAUAUUGAGAAUUGGAGUAAUCGAUUUUUGUCGUAAGGGGGAAAAAUGGUUUUCAUAAAGGCUGUUCUUCAAGCCAUACCGACAUAUUCAAUGGCAUGUUUUUUACUCCCAAAAUCACUAUGCAAAGAUCUGGAAAGUAUUGUUGCAAAAUAUUGGUGGCAGAAAGGUCAUGUAAAAGGGGGUAUUCAUUGGUGCUCGUGGAAAAACGGAGGAAUGGGUUUUUGAAAGCUUAGUCAGUUUAAUAUCGCUUUAUUAGCCAAGCAGGAUGGCAUUUAAUAAAUUAUCCAAAUUCCCUUUUAGCAAGAGUGCUUAAAGCUAAAUAUUAUCCACAGACGUGUUAUCUAAAUGCACUGUUGGGAAACUUACCAUCUCUUACCUGGAAGAGUAUUUGGACAGCAAAAGGAAACCUUCUCAAGGGGCUAAGUUGGAGAGUGGGAAAAGGAACCGCAAUAUCUAUUUGGAAUGAUCGAUGGAUACCAGGGAUUGAACCUGAGAUAUGGCAUAACAGAGAAAGAAAUGAGGGGUUAAAUUUAGUAUCAGACCUAAUUGACAGCAUAACCAAGAUGUGAAAAGUAGAGACAAAUACAACUACCUUCCAAUGGGAUGUUGCUCAAAGAAUUCUACAGAUCCCUCUUGCAAGAAUAGACUGGGAGGAUAUGCAGGUGUGGAAAGGUGAAUAUUCUGGUGAUUUCUCAGUCUAGAGCGCCUACAAACUAUUACAAGAAGCUAGCCUGGAUCCUGGUAGUUACUUAGUACACACUGAAACUAAAGAAUUUUACAAGAAUUUAUGGAAUUUACAACUACCACAAAAAAUUUUAAUCCUUAUAUGGCGGAUUUCCUGGAACUAUAUCCCAUCCCUAUCUAAUCUGAGAUAUAAAAGAGUGACCACAAACGCCAGAUGCCCUCGUUGCCAUUCUGAGGAGGACGAUAGCCAUCACGUGUUUCGGAUGGAACUUGAAGGAGUUAGGGGAAGUAAGAUUACUCACGCGCUCACUGAAGCUGAAAGACAAGACAGAGAAACAUCAAGGGAGAUAAUACAGUUUGAUGCAGCCUUUGAUAACAGGAAUUUCAAAUCGGCGUCAGGAAUGGUUGUUCGGGAUCAAGAUGGCAUGAUUAGAGCCUCAAAGUCAACUUUGCACUCCAACAUUUCAUCCCUGUUUGUUGCAGAAGCAUACGCAUGUUUAGAGGCAACCAAGUUAGGUAUCAGCAUGGGGAUAGAAUCAGUCACGAUUAUUGGGGACUCGAAAACAAUUAUUAACAAAUGUCAAUCAACAACAAGGGACAAAUCAGUUAUCGGAGCGAUUAUUAAAGAUAAUCAGGGUAAUAGCUCUCGCUUUCAGAAAAUUGUUUUCAGAUUCAUUCAAAGAACAGAAAAUGGCCCAGCUCAUUAUCUUGCAAAUGAUGCAGUUAAAAAAGGGGAAGAGAUGUACCUGAUUGUUCUAGGAGCAAGGCGGGCACAAAAUCCAGACUGAUGAGAGACGAGGAAGACAAAUUGAAACGGUAAAAGAAAGCAAAUAAGGAGAUUUCUUGGAAGUUGUUGCUAUCUUUUUGAAAUAGACCUGACGUUCUUUUGAAAUUGAAAAGUCGAGAAGAGUAAUAGUUACAGGAUGUUUGAUGUGAUUGGGGAAAUGACGGUUGGUUUUUCUAUGUUUCUUCUACUUUUAUUAUUGUUAUUUAAUUAGGUUUUUAAAUUCUGAACAUUUCAGUCGGUUGGCUUUAUAGGAUGUUUAAUUUGCAGCCUAUGUUUUUGUUUACAGCCUAGUCCAGUAUUGUUAUGAGCUGUUUUUCUUGUGUUUCCUUUUUAUUAUAAUACCCCAGUGAAUUAUUUAAAAAAAAAUUUACUUUUCAAAAGUAUUUCUGACUCUAAAAUUUGUUUAUUUAGCUUUACUUCUUACUUGAAAAAUAUUUUUGACUUUAAAAGUACUUUUUG